AAAUCUCGUCCCACCAAACCUCCUCAACUCCGCCGCCGCUCUGCUCCUUCCAACUUCAAAGCCUUGGCAAUCUCCGCGCCGCAAACCCUAGCCGCCGCCAUGGCCUUCCUCGCUCCCGCCUCCCUCCGCGCCCCCAUCUACGUAGUCGCCGCCGCCUCCGGACGCCGCUCCGUGCUCCCCGCGGCCGUCAAAGCCACGGCCAGCUCCGGCUCCGCCACCUCUCCGCACCCCAUCCUCUCCUCCCUCCGCAUGGCCGCCUCCGCUGCCGUCCUCCUCGCCGCCACCUCCCCGGCCCUCGCGUGCACCCCCUCCGCGCCUCCGCCCCCGCCCGCUCCCCUAACGGCCGCGGUCCACCCCGACGACCCCAUCCAGGACGCCUCCCACCCGUUCGAGAAGCUCAUCGUCGAGUCCGCCGCGCUCGCGCGCGCCGGCAGAGCGGAGGCUGCGCGCGCCCGCCUGUCUGCCGCAGAGGGAUGCGAGAGCUAUGCGCGCCUCCUCGCGGCGCAGGCGCUGUUCGUGGAGGGAAAGGUGGACGAGGCGAUCGCCGCCUUCGAGGAGCUCGCGCGGGAG
rnacentral:lncRNA from 1 species